UACGGGGGGGGCAAGCGUUGUUCGGAAUUACUGGGCGUAAAGGGCUCGUAGGCGGCCAACUAAGUCGGACGUGAAAUCCCUCGGCUUAACCGGGGAACUGCGUCCGAUACUGGAUGGCUUGAGUUUGGGAGAGGGAUGCGGAAUUCCAGGUGUAGCGGUGAAAUGCGUAGAUAUCUGGAGGAACACCGGUGGCGAAGGCGGCAUCCUGGACCAACACUGACGCUGAGGGAGCGAAAAGCCAGGGGGAGCAAACGGG
rnacentral:rRNA from 1 species